rnacentral:pre_miRNA from 1 species
AAUAAGUGUAGUUUUGUACUAUUCAUGUUUAACGUUUGACUGUUCGUCUUAUUUGAAAAUUUAAUUUUUUAUGAUUAGUAUUUUUAUUAUGAUAAAAUAUGAAUAGUACUUUAUGUGUGACUAAAUAUUUUUAAAUUUUUCACAAAUUUUUCAAAUAAGAUGAACGGUUAAAUGUUGGACACGGAUAUCCAUGACUGUAUUUAUU